rnacentral:tRNA from 1 species
UGCGGUAGCUCAGUUGGUAGAGCAAAGGACUGAAAAUCCUUGUGUCGGCGGUUCGAUCCCGCCCC